GGGCCCGCACAAGCAGUGGAUUAUGUGGUUUAAUUCGAAGCAACGCGAAGAACCUUACCAGGGCUUGACAUCCUACUAACGAAGCAGAGAUGCAUUAGGUGCCCUUCGGGGAAAGUAGAGACAGGUGGUGCAUGGUUGUCGUCAGCUCGUGUCGUGAGAUGUUGGGUUAAGUCCCGCAACGAGCGCAACCCCUAUUGUUAGUUGAUACAUUAAGAUGAUCACUCUAGCGAGACUGCCGUUGACAAAACGGAGGAAGGUGGGGACGACGUCAAAUCAUCAUGCCCCUUACGCCCUGGGCUACACACGUAAUACAAUGGUGGACAUACAGAGGGAUGCAAAACAGCGAAUGUGGAGCGAACCCCUAAAAGCCAUCUCAGUUCGGAUUGCAGGCUGCAACUCGCCUGCAUGAAGUUGGAAUUGACUAGUAAUCGCGGAUCAGCAUGCCG
rnacentral:rRNA from 1 species